rnacentral:misc_RNA from 1 species
UACCGGGUGGUCCCGGCAGAUUCAGACAGGGUUUCACGUGCCCCGCCCUACUCAGGAUACAUCUAUGAGAUUUUAUGAUUUCGUAUACAGGAAUAUCACCUUCUAUGUUGAAGCUUUCCAACUUCUUCUACUAUCAUAAAAUUUUGUAACUCAAUGUAAGAUGUCCUACAACCCCUUUUUACAGGUUUGGGCUCUUUCGCUUUCGCUCGCCACUACUGACGAAAUCAUUAUUUAUUUUCUUUUCCUGUUGCUACUAAGAUGUUUCAAUUCGCAACGUGUCUCGCUAAUUUGACUAUGGAUUCAUCAAAAUGCAACUGAG